rnacentral:rRNA from 1 species
UACGUAGGGUGCGAGCGUUAAUCGGAAUUACUGGGCGUAAAGCGUGCGUAGGCGGUUCGUUAAGUCAGCUGUGAAAGCCCCGGGCUCAACCUGGGAAUUGCGGUUGAAACUGGCGAACUAGAAUCUGGCAGAGGGGGGUGGAAUUCCACGUGUAGCAGUGAAAUGCGUAGAGAUGUGGAGGAACACCGAUGGCGAAGGCAGCCCCCUGGGUCAAGAUUGACGCUCAUGCACGAAAGCGUGGGGAGCAAACAGG